rnacentral:tRNA from 1 species
GUGGAUAUAGCUCAGCUGGUUAGAGCACUAGAUUGUGGUUCUAGGGGUCGUCGGUUCGAACCCGAUUAUCCACCCCA